GAACGUGAAGCAGGAGCUUGCUCCUGUGGAAAGUGGCAGACGGGUGAGUAACGCGUGGGAAUUUACCCAGUGGUUCGGAAUAACUUCGGGAAACGGGAGCUAAUACCGGAUACGCCCUUCGGGGGAAAGAUUUAUCGCCAUUGGAUAAGCCCGCGUCGGAUUAGCUUGUUGGUGAGGUAAAAGCUCACCAUGGCGACGAUCCGUAGCUGGUCUGAGAGGAUGAUCAGCCACACUGGGACUGAGACACGGCCCAGACUCCUACGGGAGGCAGCAGUGGGGAAUAUUGCACAAUGGGCGCAAGCCUGAUGCAGCCAUGCCGCGUGAGUGAUGAAGGCCUUAGGGUUGUAAAACUCUUUCGCCAGGGAAGAUAAUGACGGUACCUGGUAAAGAAGCCCCGGCCAACUCCGUGCCAGCAGCCGCGGUAAUACGGAGGGGGCUAGCGUUGUUCGGAAUUACUGGGCGUAAAGCGCGCGUAGGCGGGCUGGUUAGUUGGGGGUGAAAUCCCGAGGCUUAACCUCGGAACUGCCCUCAAUACUGCCAGUCUUGAGUUCGAGAGAGGU
rnacentral:rRNA from 1 species